CGGGCCCCAGUCUACUUCUUACAGAAGAUAUAACUAUCCAAAACUUUAGACCUCUGGUGGUCUGAGGAUCGUUCUGACUGCGGAACUUGGAGUAUGUGGAGCAAAUGUGGAAACCUCCAAGGGUGAGUAAUUUGUCCCACCUCAAAGCCCAAGGUCAAGUAUAACUUGAUAGAUAGGCAAGGAAGGAUGCCAGCCAAACUGUUGGGUAUGUGAAUCUGAAGUUCUGAGGUAUGUUCCAGGCUGGAGGUUACAG
rnacentral:lncRNA from 1 species